GACGAACGCUGGCGGCGUGCUUAACACAUGCAAGUCGAACGGAAAGGCCCCUUUUGGGGUACUUGAGUGACGAACGGGCGAGUAACACGUGAGUAACCUGCCCUUGACUUCGGGAGAACUUCAGGAAACUGGGGCGAAUACCGGACAGGAAGCCUUGCUGCAUGGUGGGGGUUGGAAAGCCUCGGGGGGUUUGGAUGGACUCGCGGCUUAUCAGCUUGUUUGUGGGGUAGUGGCUUACCAAGGCUUUGACGGGUAGCCGGCCUGGGAGGGCGACCGGCCACAAUGGGACUGGGAUACGGCCCAGAAUCCCACGGGAGGCAGCAGUGGGGGAUAAUGCACCAUGGGCGGAAGCCUGAAGCAGCAACCCCGCGUGCGGGAUGACGGCCUUCGGGUUGUAAACCGCUUUCCGCAGGGGCGAAGCUUGUGGUGACGGUACCUGCAGAAGAAGCACCGGCUAACUACGUG
rnacentral:rRNA from 1 species